GUGGAUUAGAUACCCUGGUAGUCCACGCCGUAAACGAUGGACACUAGGCGUCGGGGGGAGCGACCCUCCCGGUGCCGUCGCUAACGCAGUAAGUGUCCCGCCUGGGGAGUACGGCCGCAAGGCUGAAACUCAAAGGAAUUGACGGGGGCCCGCACAAGCGGUGGAGCAUGUGGUUUAAUUCGAAGCAACGCGAAGAACCUUACCUGGGCUUGACAUGCUGGUGAAAGCCGGUGGAAACAUCGGCCCCUCUUCGGAGCGCCAGCACAGGUGCUGCACGGCCGUCGUCAACU
rnacentral:rRNA from 1 species